rnacentral:lncRNA from 1 species
CCCGACCCGGUUUCCUUACCGCAAGUACGACCCCAGUUCACUUCCCUCGAUCUAACGUGAUCUAUACCCGAUUUUUCCCUAACUUGGGAUUUUUAUUACAGUUUUCCUCUAAGAGGUUCAGAUCAGUUCUCAGUGUUCACUAAGCCUAACCAGCAUCCUAGCAGUUCACUAAGACUGAUAGUAUAAUAAACAUGUACCUUACUGCCUUGGUUCUUGUUUGACUCAUGGUCCCUCCACGUUCCGUCCUUGAUGUCUCCGUGCUUCUCAUCCGUCUAAUCCAGCCAGCUCAUUCAGAUACUUAACCGAAUCCCCUUGUUACUUAGUCACUCAGCCAACCAUCCCCACAUGACCCAAGUAAACAAAGAGAGACGGCUUGGUCUCCAACCAGCCAUCCAGAAAAGAUAGUACGCUAGCCAUGCUUAGCGCCCCAGAACCAGUCCCUGAUCACACCCGGAUCAGUCAGUACACAGUCGGCUCCACAGCCCCAUAACCAGUC